rnacentral:lncRNA from 1 species
UGGACCAAUCAGCAGGACGUGGGCAGGGAACAAAUAAGGGAAUAAAAGCUGGCCACCCCCGACAGCCAGCAGCAAUCACUCGGGUCUUCUUCUGCACUGUGGAAGCGUUGUUCCUUGGCUCUUCACGAAAAAUCUUGCUGGUGCUCACUCUUUGGGUCCACACUACCUUUAUGAGCUGUAAUACGUUACCUGUAUGAGCUGUAAUGCUCACCGCGAGGGUCUGAGGCUUCAUUCCUGAAGUCAGCAACACCACGAACUCACCAGGAGGAACAAACAACUCUGGACAUGCCACUUUGAAGAGCGAUAACACUCCCUGUGAAGGUCUGCAGCUUCACACCUGAAGUCAGCAACACCACAAACCCACCGGGAGGAACAAACAACUCUGGACGUGCCACCUUUAAGAGCUGUAACAGUUACUGCAAAGGUCUGCCACUUCACUCCUGAAGGCAGCAAAAUCACGAACCCACCUGAAGGAAGAAACUCCAGGCACAUCUGAAGGAACAGACUCCGGACACACCAUCUUUAAGAACUGUUAACACUCACCGCGAGGAUCCACGGCUUCAUUCUUGAAGUCAGCGAGACCAAGAACCCACCGGAAGGAACCAAUUCCGGACACACUAGGACUUUCAGUACUAUGUUGAAUAGAAGUGAGAGUGGGCAUCGUUGUCUUGUUCCAGUUAGUUUUUUUAAGUAACUACAGUUGAGCCUGGAACAACAUGGCUUUGAAUUGCAUGGGUCCAACUAUAUGUGGAUUUUUUUAAAUAAAAGUUACACCAAGUAUGCCUGCCUCUCCUGGUUCCACUUCCAUCUCCUCCGUGUCUUCUGCCUCUGCUACCCCUGAGACAGCAAGACCAACCCCUCUUCUUCCUCCUCCUCCUCAGCCUACUCAAUGUGAAGACACUAAGAAUGAAGGCCUUUAUGAUGAUCAACUUCCAAAUAGUUGUUUUCCUUGUGACUCAAAUGAGGAAGAAUAAACUUGGUUUAGGACUAUUCAAUGCCAGUGUUUUCAGAUGGCUCCACCAGCAGAGAACAGAGAAGGGGAGAAGAGGAAAAGCAGCUGGACGUCGGGGACUGCGGUUUGACGUCGGAGAGAAGCAGCUUGACUUCAGAGGGACAGCUUGACCGCUUUGCUUUGGAGAGGAGUCUGGCUGGGGAUGGCUGGACUCCAGGGGAAGAUCGUCUUCCUGUUCCAUCCCUUUUCCAGCUCCCCUCCCACUGAGAGCCACUUUCAUUGGCAAUAAAAUCCUCCAUAUUCACCACCCUUCAAUUCGUUCAUGCGACCUGAUUUUUCCUGGAUGCCAAACAAGAGCCCAGGUGCCACAGGUGUGGAUACUAAAGGCUGUCACACUGACCCUUUGCCCUUGCUGGCAGAGAGCAACCACUUCAUGCAAAAAGGCAGAGGGCCCACUGAGGUAUUUAACACUUAAGCUGUCCGUGGACAGCCAAGCUAAAAGAACACUGUAACACACUCCCUCUGGGGCUUCUGGGGUCCCUGGUAUUCCUGACGAGACACUGUCAUGGGGCCUGCAGGGAGUUUUGCUCCUGCCAACACCCAAAAGCACUCUUUCUGGCUCCUGCACCCGCUCACCUGCGUGCUUCCCCUUCCCUCAAGGGCUUGAGAGCUGCAGGCUGAGUAAGUAGGCACCCUUGUCACGAGGUCCAAAAAGGGAUCAAGGAAAAUUUCCUGUUUCAGUGCUUUGGCAAAAACUUGAGUCAAUGAUACAGAAAAGUUAUGAGAGUUGAAAUCCUUGUCUAGUUCCCACUCAUAAUUCACUGAUUUUUAUUUCUGUAGUUUAUAAUCUGAGGUUAAUUCUAUCCAAUAAUAUUUUCAUUGUAGUAAUUGGGUAAUUUUUAUAUUUAGAUAUUGCUUUUGGUUUCUUUUUUGUAACGUCCAGUUCUCCA